rnacentral:rRNA from 1 species
AGAGUUGAUCAUGGCUCAGGACGAACGCUGGCGGCGUGCCUAACACAUGCAAGUCGAACGGGGAUUUGUUUCGGCAGAAUCCUAGUGGCGAACGGGUGAGUAACGCGUAGGCAACCUGCCCUCCGGCCGGGGACAACACUCCGAAAGGGGUGCUAAUACCGGAUACGAAGUCUGUGCCGCAUGGUACGGAUUUGAAAGAUGGCCUCUAUUUAUAAGCUAUCGCCGGGGGAUGGGCCUGCGUCCGAUUAGCUGGUUGGUGGGGUAACGGCCUACCAAGGCGACGAUCGGUAGCCGGUCUGAGAGGAUGAACGGCCACAUUGGGACUGAGACACGGCCCAGACUCCUACGGGAGGCAGCAGUGGGGAAUCUUCCGCAAUGGGCGCAAGCCUGACGGAGCAACGCCGCGUGAGUGAGGAAGUUCUUCGGAACGUAAAGCUCUGUUGUUCCUGACGAACCUCCCUUCUAUCAACAACGGAGGGGACUGACGGUAGGGAACGAGGAAGCCACGGCUAACUACGUGCCAGCCGCCGC